AACAGUUUCACAGAUAAUUAGGAUUGUUCAUUUUUUUUUUAAUGUUCUAUUUCGAAAACCAUUUCGAGAUAUGAGGUUUUCAAACAGUUUCCGACAUUUGCUGCGAUAUAAUAAUUGAGGAUUGAAGAUAUUUCAACAAAUAUCCUUAUGACCUUAGUUUGACCUUUCUCCUGGGCUGAAUGUAAAGUCAUCGCAUAAUAAAAGUUAUCGAACCAUAGUAAAUAAAUCCGUCACUCACGUAAUUGUCAAAGUUAUCAUUGUCAUCAAUUGUCAUAAUUUAAUUUUUCAGUUAAACCGCUCUUGGUUUGUUACGAUUUGAUUUAUAACUGAUACCUAAACUGUAGAUUUGAUUGCUUAAUAUAAAUCAAAAACCUUGUUCCUACGUGUGGGAAUGAUUCACAAAAAUAAUAGUUCGAAUCCGCGAGGACCUACUUACGACGUGAAAGAUGGUGUCGUGAAGUAAACAUGGAAUACCUACCUACCUACUUCAAGUUUAACAUAGUAUUGCUGUGAGGAUCACGUCGAUGUACAUGUUGCAGUUCAAGCUGCUGAUAUCAUGGUGGACAAGACUUAAGUGAAUAAAGAUCUGUGAAUAAUAAAACAUGUUUUUGUUUA